CCGGCACGGGUGAGUAACACGUAUCCAACCUGCCGUCUACUCUUGGCCAGCCUUCUGAAAGGAAGAUUAAUCCAGGAUGGCAUCAUGAGUUCACAUGUCCGCAUGAUUAAAGGUUAUUUCCGGUAGACGAUGGGGAUGCGUUCCAUUAGAUAGUAGGCGGGGUAACGGCCCACCUAGUCAACGAUGGAUAGGGGUUCUGAGAGGAAGGUCCCCCACAUUGGAACUGAGACACGGUCCAA
rnacentral:rRNA from 1 species